rnacentral:rRNA from 1 species
UACGUAGGGUGCAAGCGUUGUCCGGAAUUAUUGGGCGUAAAGAGCUCGUAGGCGGUCUGUCGCGUCUGCUGUGAAAACUCGGGGCUUAACCCCGGGCCUGCAGUGGGUACGGGCAGACUAGAGUGCGGCAGGGGAGACUGGAAUUCCUGGUGUAGCGGUGAAAUGCGCAGAAAUCAGGAGGAACACCGGUGGCGAAGGCGGGUCUCUGGGCCGUAACUGACGCUGAGGAGCGAAAGCAUGGGGAGCGAACAGG